rnacentral:misc_RNA from 1 species
AAAUUAUUUGAUUAACUAACAAAAACCAAUGUUUAAAUUUAUAACAAUCACUUUUGUUAUUUAAAAAAAGUUCGCUUUGCAUUUUUGCUUUUUAUACUUUUCUCAUAUUAAGGGAAAUUCACAUAUUUAUUUCUCAAACAUGUUUUCUUAUUAUCCAAGUCUCAAAGAAAAAUGAAACACCCCCUUGGUAAUUGAGCUUAACUUCCAUCAAAAUAUCAAACGCAAAUGUGUAAAUGGCAAUUGGUCGAGGGAAAAUAUGUAAUUGACGCAAAUAAAGCAUUUUUAACAAUCUUAAAUCUGUUUCUUGAUAAAGCACAUUUUCCUUUGUGUUGGUUUUUAAACUAUUUGUGAAGUCACA